rnacentral:rRNA from 1 species
UACGAAGGGGGCUAGCGUUGCUCGGAAUUACUGGGCGUAAAGGGCGCGUAGGCGGCCUGCUAAGUCGAACGUGAAAUCCCUGGGCUCAACCCAGGAACUGCGUCCGAUACUGGUUGGCUUGAAUUCGGGAGAGGGAUGUGGAAUUCCAGGUGUAGCGGUGAAAUGCGUAGAUAUCUGGAGGAACACCGGUGGCGAAGGCGGCAUCCUGGACCGAUAUUGACGCUGAUGCGCGAAAGCCAGGGGAGCAAACGGG